rnacentral:rRNA from 1 species
GUCAGUAAGAAUUUAAUUUUGGUUCUGAUUGAACGUUUUUCAGUAGUUUUAAGACAUGCAAAUCGUUGUUACUGAAAAUUUUAUAAAUUAAUUAGAUUCACUAUACUAUUUUGAAACUAAUAAAUAAUUAUAAAAUAAAUAAGAACAAGGUGUAAAGGUGAGUAUUUUAAAUUAGAUACCCUAUAGACUCCUUAAUUCGGAGAUAAUUUUAUUUCUCUAUUUAAUUAUCAGGUUUAAAAAAUAAAAAUAAAUAAAAUAAAUAAAUCAAUAAAAAGGGUAAUUGAAUAAGAGAAACUUUUGGAAAAAUAUAAUAAAAAAAGGUUAUAAAUCUUAACAAAAAAUUAAGGUUACAAUUAGCUAACCUUUCUCAAAUAAAUCCUGUGAAAUUAUAUUUUUAGUUUUACAGAUUAAUUAGAGUUAUAUUGACUUAUAAGAAAAAUAAAAGAUAAAUUAGCUAAUUUAUUAAAAAAGGAAAUUUUCUGCUAUAGGAUUCGAUUUAUUUUGUUUAAUGGUAGUUGGUAGGGUAAAAGCCUACCAAGCCUACGAUCAAAAGCCAUGUUUGAUAGAGCAGAUGGCCACAUUGGGAAUGGAAAGCCCCAAGUAGUGUAAACUACCAGCAGUCAAGAAUCUUAGUCAAUGCUCGCAAGAGUGAACUAGCUAACUGAAAUCAUUAUGAGUCAUUAAUUUGGUGAUUAUGAUAACAUAAGGGAAAAAAAAUGAUAUUACCUUAUUAUUAGUGUUGUCCAAAACUGGUGCCAGAAGACUCGGUAAGACCAGAGACGCAAACGUUAGUCAUCUUAAUCAGGCGUAAAGGGUGUGUAGGCUGCUUUAAAAGUUUAAAUCUUUUUAAUAGCUCUUUUGCCGUUGUCAUACCAUUAUUUUUUUGUUUUUGUUUUUUGUUUUAUAAAUAAUAAACAAAAAUGAAUAUAAAGGUAGUACAUUUUAUAAAUUUAAUUAAUUUAAUUAAUUUAAUUAAUUUAAUUUUAUAAUUAUAAAGGGGACAAAAAAGAUAUCCCGGUUUAAGUAAAAAGAAUAAAAUGAAUUAAAGCUAGGAUCAAAUUGAGGAUAAACCAAAUAAUACUUAGAGUAGGGCCGAUAUCCGCAGAUACUAAGGGGAAUACUAAAGGUGAAAGCUUUUUAUCUACUAUUGAUUGACGCUGAGAAACGAAGGUGAGAACAGGAAAUAGGAUUUGAUACCCAGAUACCUCUCACUGUCAACGAUGAAUGGUGGUUGUUAGUUUUAAUAAAAACUGGUAACGAUGUUAACACGAUAACCAUUCCGCCUUGCGAGUACGGUUGCAAAACUGAAACCAAAAAAAUUAGUCGGUUUCGAAGCAAACGAAGUGAAGCAUGUUAUUUAAUACGAGAGUACGCGUAAAACCUUACCAGUUCUUGCAUAUCCAGUCUGUUUCUAUUGAGACAGAUUGAGUAAUUUUUAUAAUUUUAAAAAUUCGUUUACAGGUGUUGCAUGGCUGUCGUCAGUCCGUGCCGUGAGAAGUGAGGUUAACUCCACUAACGGACGAAAUCCCUGUUGUUAAUUUAUACUUGACAAUUAAUGAAUUUUAAAUAUUUUCAUUUGGGGCUAAGACAAGUCGUUAUGGUCCUCAUGAACUGGGCUAUAGACGUGCCACAAUAACUUUUACAAAGUGAAGCAAAACUAGACCUAGAAACUUGGGCUAUUUUUUAGCUAUGUAGUUUUUAAUUUAUUUAAUUAAUUCAACAGGGUCAGAAGGAAUAGCUAAUCAUUAAAGAAAGUAAUAAUUAGACGGAUUGUCGCCUGCAAUUUGGCGACAUGAAGAAGGAAUUUCGAGUAAUCGUUGAUCAGUAUCGCAACGGUGAAGUAAGCAUUCGGGAUGAACUAACUGUCUGUCGCUGGGAAGAAGUUUAAUUUGGGGGAAACUGCCGCGAGGUUAUAACUUUAACAAAGGUAUACUUUACUUAAUAAUAUUUAUUGUUAUUUAUAAUUAUUAUAUUAUUAGAAUAAAUUAAAUAUUUAAUCAUACUUAAUUUAAAAGUAGUUUGUACGCUAAUAUUUUAAUACAAUUGUUUUAUAUUGUAAUUAGUCAUUUAUAAUAAAACACCUUUGUUAAGCUAAUUAGUUUCAGUUAACUCAGUUAAGUAACAUCUCAAAAGUCAUAGCAAGGUAGCUGUACUGGAAAGUGCUGCUGUAAAAUAAAAAUU